AAGUUUGCUUGGGAGAAUAUAAGUUGGGGGAUUUUAUUUGGAAAAAAAAUAAAUUUUUUUUCCAAAUAGUUGUGCUCAAAAAAUACUUGUAGGGGAAGCAUCCUACGCUGCAAUUUCUAUUCAUAGUUCAUUCAGCUCGGUUUAUGUUAAUCGUGGGUAUACCUGCAUCGUUUAUUUUAUUUAGAAAUAAAUUUAUUGUGGCUUCAGAUACCAACGAUCAAGUCGUUUGCCACGUGCGCUAGAAAAGAUAGGUAUGUAUGAAAGAGAUUUAGGCUUUAAUAAUAUAUGUUG
rnacentral:lncRNA from 1 species